CCACUUGCAAGCGCCCCCCACACCCCCUAUUUAACAAAUGUCUUUCGGGACUAUGGACAUAAACGCGCUCGUAAUACGCGGAUCGGACCCGGGGGCGGUACCCGGCGUCUCCACCAAAAACUGCUCAUUUGGCAGCCAUGGGGACGAAACAGGAUCGACGAACGUCUAAAGGGGUUUUGCUUUGUCUCGGUGAGUUACCACCGUUAUCGGUACAAAAAAGCUAGUUGCAAAUGACAACAAAGCACCAAUGGCGAUGGCUGCGUAAGCAGUCGGAACUAUUGAAACCUUAAGCCCUAUGGUUUUGCGACCAUAGGCGGGGUCCGCAGGUACCUGGCAACAGAAACCUGCACC
rnacentral:tmRNA from 1 species